UACGGAGGGUGCAAGCGUUAAUCGGAAUUACUGGGCGUAAAGCGCGCGUAGGCGGUUUGUUAAGUGAGAUGUGAAAGCCCAGGGCUCAACCUUGGAACUGCAUCUCAUACUGGCAGGCUGAGUACGGUAGAGGGGGGUAGAAUUCCACGUGUAGCGGUGAAAUGCGUAGAGAUGUGGAGGAAUACCAGUGGCGAAGGCGGCCCCCUGGAUCGAUACUGACGCUGAGGUGCGAAAGGUGGGGCAAACAGGAUUAGAUACCCCUACGUC
rnacentral:rRNA from 1 species